UGGGGAAUAUUGGACAAUGGGCGAAAGCCUGAUCCAGCCAUGCCGCGUGUGUGAAGAAGGUCUUCGGAUUGUAAAGCACUUUAAGUUGGGAGGAAGGGCAUUAACCUAAUACGUUAGUGUUUUGACGUUACCGACAGAAUAAGCACCGGCUAACUCUGUGCCAGCAGCCGCGGUAAUACAGAGGGUGCAAGCGUUAAUCGGAAUUACUGGGCGUAAAGCGCGCGUAGGUGGUUUGUUAAGUUGGAUGUGAAAUCCCCGGGCUCAACCUGGGAACUGCAUUCAAAACUGACUGACUAGAGUAUGGUAGAGGGUGGUGGAAUUUCCUGUGUAGCGGUGAAAUGCGUAGAUAUAGGAAGGAACACCAGUGGCGAAGGCGACCACCUGGACUAAUACUGACACUGAGGGGCGAAAGCGUGGGGAGCAAACA
rnacentral:rRNA from 1 species